UACGUAGGGGGCUAGCGUUGUCCGGAAUCAUUGGGCGUAAAGCGCGUGUAGGCGGUCCGGUAAGUCUGCUGUGAAAGUCGGGGGCUCAACCCUCGGAAGCCGGUGGAUACUGCCAGGCUAGAGUGCGGAAGAGGCGAGUGGAAUUCCUGGUGUAGCGGUGAAAUGCGCAGAUAUCAGGGAGGAACACCAAUUGCGAAGGCAGCUCGCUGG
rnacentral:rRNA from 1 species